AGUGAACGCUGGCGGUAGGCCUAACACAUGCAAGUCGAACGGCAGCACAGUAAGAGCUUGCUCUUACGGGUGGCGAGUGGCGGACGGGUGAGGAAUACAUCGGAAUCUACUUUUUCGUGGGUGAUAACGUAGGGAAACUUACGCUAAUACCGCAUACGACCUACGGGUGAAAGCAGUGGAUCUUCGCACCUUGCGCGAUUGAAUGAGCCGAUGUCGGAUUAGCUAGUUGGCGGGGUAAAGGCCCACCAAGGCGACGAUCCGUAGCUGGUCUGAGAGGAUGAUCAGCCACACUGGAACUGAGACACGGUCCAGACUCCUACGGGAGGCAGCAGUGGGGAAUAUUGGACAAUGGGCGAAAGCCUGAUCCAGCAAUACCGCGUGGGUGAAGAAGGCCUUCGGGUUGUAAAGCCCUUUUGUUGGGAAAGAAAAGCAGCAGGUUAAUACCCCGCUGUUCUGACGGUACCCAAAGAAUAAGCACCAGCUAACUUCGUG
rnacentral:rRNA from 1 species